GUCGUCAGCUCGUGUCGUGAGAUGUUGGGUUAAGUCCCGCAACGAGCGCAACCCUCGCCUCUAGUUGCCAGCAUUCAGUUGGGCACUCUAAGGUGACUGCCGGCUAAAAGUCGGAGAAGGUGGGGAUGACGUCAAAUCAUCAUGCCCCUUAUGACCUGGGCUACACACGUGCUACAAUGGGCGGUACAAAGGGUCGCGAACCCGCGAGGGGGAGCCAAUCCCAAAAAGCCGCUCUCAGUUCGGAUUGCAGGCUGCAACUCGCCUGCAUGAAGCCGGAAUCGCUAGUAAUCGCGGAUCAGCAUGCCGCGGUGAAUACGUUCCCGGGCCUU
rnacentral:rRNA from 1 species